AUUAAACUGUGAAUUAUUAUACAUUUAUAGGAAAUAUAAAAAUUAAAAAAUGCAUGGAUUCGUAUAACAUACAGAAAUCUAUAAAAUAUUCAAAAUACAGUGCUGCUCUGUAUAUGAAUGUGUAUAAAUAAUUCUAAUCUCUUGAUCAAAAAUACCUUCCAAAACCUGAGCAGUACAUAACGAUAAAUAUUGAAAUCUUGAAACUUGUCCCAUAAAUCGGCAAUGGAAAUGUUCGAUCUUUCAAGAAAUAUAUUACUACUGAACGGUAUAAAUCAUAAGCAGAACAAGCUGAAUCGAUAAUCAGCGAUGACGGUGUUCCUAAAUCGUUGUUUACAAGCGCCUGUAGGGAAAGGAAACCGGGAGAGAGGCAUGGAAAGACGCGGAAGAUCGCUGACCGGAGCGGACGUGAUAUUUCAAUUCGAUCUCGCCGGGAACCUUGACCGAGAGUAACGGUACAAUAACGAUCAUUACGAGAUCGUAGAUAGAUGAGGCGCUUUUAAACGACCCUGGUUGGGUUCUGCAUAGAUCAGCGAACGAUUCGAAAGCCGAUGAAAACAGUUCCAGUCGGUUUCAUCUACGCCAGCAAACAACCGAUACCUUGUAGCUUGUGAUCUUCGGUUCGAUGAUCCCAGUCUUUCAGUAGACCUUGAGUAUCCAGACGUGGCGGAUCGAAUGAAACGAAUGGCAAUAAAUCAUCGCUCAUGCAGCCUCUUAAAUCCCAAACGCUGCGAACUAUUCAUGAAUCGUCCCCGAAGAGGCAUUUAAAAUACCAAUGCCCCAUUAUCAAAUCUUCCUCCAUCCUCUCUAACACGAAACUUCCUAAAUCGCCCAUUCAAUUGACGAGGCAAAUAUACGAAACAGCCGGCAAUCUCCGGCGGUUGAACAGAGU